UACGUAGGGUGCAAGCGUUGUCCGGAAUUAUUGGGCGUAAAGAGCUCGUAGGCGGUCUGUCGCGUCUGCUGUGAAAACUCAGGGCUUAACCCCGGGCGUGCAGUGGAUACGGGCAGGCUGGAGGCAGGCAGGGGAGAACGGAAUUCCCGGUGUAGCGGUGAAAUGCGCAGAUAUCGGGAGGAACACCGGUGGCGAAGGCGGUUCUCUGGGCCUGUACUGACGCUGAGGAGCGAAAGCGUGGGGAGCGAACAGG
rnacentral:rRNA from 1 species